rnacentral:snRNA from 1 species
ACAGUUGCACGGUAGGCGGCCCCACUUCUGCGAAUUCCCCAAAUGUGGGAAUCUCGACUGCAUAAUUUCUGGUAGUGGGGGACUGCGUUCGCGCUCUCCCCUG